GAUGAACGCUGGCGGCGUGCCUAAUACAUGCAAGUCGAGCGAACAGACGAGGAGCUUGCUCCUCUGACGUUAGCGGCGGACGGGUGAGUAACACGUGGAUAACCUACCUAUAAGACUGGGAUAACUUCGGGAAACCGGAGCUAAUACCGGAUAAUAUAUUGAACCGCAUGGUUCAAUAGUGAAAGACGGUUUUGCUGUCACUUAUAGAUUGAUCCGCGCCGCAUUAGCUAGUUGGUAAGGUAACGGCUUACCAAGGCAACGAUGCGUAGCCGACCUGAGAGGGUGAUCGGCCACACAGGAACUGAGACACGGGCCCGACUCCGACGGGAGGCAGCAGUAGGGAAUCUGCCGCAAUGGGCGAAAGCCUGACGGAGCAACGCCGCGUGAGUGAUGAAGGUCUGCGGAUCGUAAAACUCUGUUAUUAGGGAAGAACAAAUGUGUAAGUAACUAUGCACGUCUGGACGGUACCUAAGCAGAAAGCCACGGCUAACUACGU
rnacentral:rRNA from 1 species